rnacentral:rRNA from 1 species
AUUGAACGCUGGCGGCAUGCCUUACACAUGCAAGUCGAACGGUAACAGGUCUUCUGAUGCUGACGAGUGGCGAACGGGGGUGUAAUACAUCUGAACGUUCCCGAUCGAGGGGGAUAACGGAGCGAAAUCUUUGCUAUUACCGCAUACGAUCCAUGUAUGAAAAAAGGGGACAGCAAGGACCUUCACGGUCUCAGCGGCCGAUGGCAGAUUAGGUAGUUGGUGGGAUAAAAGCUUACCAAGCCGACGAUCUGUAGCUGGUCUGAGAGGACGACCAGCCACACUGGGACUGAGACACGGCCCAGACUCCUACGGGAGGCAGCAGUGGGGAAUUUUGGACAAUGGGCGAAAGCCUGAUCCAGCCAUGCCGCGUGCAGGAUGAAGGUCUUCGGGUUGUAAACUGCUUUAGGACGGAACGAAAAGAAUCUAUCUAAUACAGAGGGUCCAUGACGGUACCGUAAGAAUAAGCACCGGCUAACUACGUG